rnacentral:tRNA from 1 species
AAUAGUAUGCCUGAAAAAGGAUUAUUAUGAUGUAAUAAAUUAUGUAAAAAUAUUUUACUACUAUUA